rnacentral:rRNA from 1 species
UGCCAGCAGCCGCGGUAAUACGGAGGGGGUUAGCGUUGUUCGGAAUUACUGGGCGUAAAGCGUACGUAGGCGGACUGAUCAAUAAGUCAGGGGUGAAAUCCCGAGGCUCAACCUCGGAACUGCCUUUGAUACUGUUGGUCUUGAGUUCGAGAGAGGUGAGUGGAAUUCCGAGUGUAGAGGUGAAAUUCGUAGAUAUUCGGAGGAACACCAGUGGCGAAGGCGGCUCACUGGCUCGAUACUGACGCUGAGGUGCGAAAGCGUGGGGAGCAAACAGGAUUAGAUA